rnacentral:rRNA from 1 species
UAAGGAAUAUUGGUCAAUGGACGCAAGUCUGAACCAGCCAUGCCGCGUGGAGGAUUAAGGCCCUCUGGGUUGUAAACUCCUUUUAUCUGGGAAGAAAUGUACUUUUUCUUGAGUACUUGACGGUACCAGAGGAAUAAGCACCGGCUAACUCCGUGCCAGCAGCCGCGGUAAUAAGGAGGGUGCAAGCGUUAUCCGGAUUAACUGGGUUUAAAGGGUGCGUAGGUGGGCAGGUAAGUCAGUGGUGAAAUCUCCGGGCUUAACCCUGAAACUGCCGUUGAUACUAUUUGUCUUUAAUAUUGUGGAGNUAAGCGGAAUAUGUCAUGUAGCGGUGAAAUGCUUAGAUAUGACAUAGAACACCAAUUGCGAAGGCAGCUUACUACACAAUCAUUGACGCUGAGGCACUAAAGCGUGGGGAUCAAACA